GAUGAACGCUAGCUACAGGCUUAACACAUGCAAGUCGCGGGGCAGCAUGGGGGUUGCUUGCAAUCCCCGAUGGCGACCGGCGCACGGGUGAGUAACGCGUAUCCAACCUGCCCUUCACCACAGGAUAACCCGGCGAAAGUCGGACUAAUACCGUAUGUUGUCCAUUGACGGCAUCCGAUUUGGACGAAAGGUUUGGCGGUGAAGGAUGGGGAUGCGUCCGAUUAGCUGGACGGCGGGGUGACGGCCCACCGUGGCGACGAUCGGUAGGGGUUCUGAGAGGAAGGUCCCCCACACUGGAACUGAGACACGGUCCAGACUCCUACGGGAGGCAGCAGUGAGGAAUAUUGGUCAAUGGGCGUAAGCCUGAACCAGCCAAGUAGCGUGCAGGAUGACGGCCCUAUGGGUUGUAAACUGCUUUUAUGCGGGGAUAAAGUGGCCCACGUGUGGGUUUUUGCAGGUACCGCAUGAAUAAGGACCGGCUAAUUCCGUG
rnacentral:rRNA from 1 species